AUACGUAGGUGACAAGCGUUAUCCGGAUUUACUGGGCGUAAAGGGCGUGUAGGCGGUCUUGCAAGUCUGGAGUGAAAGUCCUGUUUUUAAGAUGGGAAUUGCUUUGGAUACUGUCGGGCUUGAGUGCCGGAGAGGUAAGUGGAAUUCCCAGUGUAGCGGUGAAAUGCGUAGAUAUAAGGAAGAACACCAGUGGCGAAGGCGGUCUACUGGACAGUAACUGACGCUGAGGCGCGAAAGCGUGGGGAGCAAACAGGAUUAGAUACCCUGGUAGUCCGCACAGUAAACGAUGGACACCCGCGGUUUGGCCUAUAUGGCUGAGCCGCCAAGCGAAAGCGUUAAGUGUCCCACCUGGGGAGUACGCCGGCAACGGUGAAACUUAAAGGAAUUGACGGGG
rnacentral:rRNA from 1 species